rnacentral:rRNA from 1 species
UACGUAGGUGGCAAGCGUUGUCCGGAAUUAUUGGGCGUAAAGCGCGCGCAGGCGGUCCUUUAAGUCUGAUGUGAAAGCCCGCGGCUCAACCGUGGAGGGUCAUUGGAAACUGGGGGACUUGAGUGCAGAAGAGGAAAGCGGAAUUCCACGUGUAGCGGUGAAAUGCGUAGAGAUGUGGAGGAACACCAGUGGCGAAGGCGGCUUUCUGGUCUGUAACUGACGCUGAGGCGCGAAAGCGUGGGGAGCAAACAGG